UUUACGACUCUCGACAACGGAUACCUUGGCUCUCGCAUCGAUGAAUAACGUAGCAAAAUGCGAUACUUGGUGUGAAUUGCAGAAUCCCGUGAACCAUCGACUCUUUGAACGUAAGUUGCGCCCGAGGCCACCACGGCUGAGGGCACGCCUGCCGGGGCGUCA
rnacentral:rRNA from 1 species